GACGAACGCUGGCGGCGUGCCUAAUACAUGCAAGUAGAACGCUGAAGAGAGGAGCUUGCUCUUCUUGGAUUAGUUGCGAACGGGUGAGUAACGCGUAGGUAACCUGCCUGGUAGCGGGGGAUAACUAUUGGAAACGAUAGCUAAUACCGCAUAAAAUGUAUUAUCGCAUGAUAAUCCAUUGAAAGGUGCAAAUGCAUCACUACCAGAUUGACCUGCGUUGUAUUAGCUAGUUGGUUGGGUAACGGCUCACCAAGGGGACGGUACAUAGCCGACCUGGGAGGGUGAUCGGCCACACUGGGACUUGGAAAAGGCCCAGAAUCCUAAGGGAGGCAGCCGUAGGGAAUCUUUGGGAAUGGACGGAAGUCUGAACGAGCAACGCCGCGGGAGUGAAGAAGGUUUUCGGAUCGUAAAGCUCUGUUGUAAGAGAAGAAAGAGUGUGAGAGUGGAAAGUUCACAUUGUGACGGUAUCUUACCAGAAAGGGACGGCUAACUACGUG
rnacentral:rRNA from 1 species